rnacentral:ncRNA from 21 species
UAACCAUCAAGAGAAACUGAGGGACUGGCCCUAGGACGUUUCAGCAACCUGCUUAAAAAGUGUGGUGCUAAUUCCAGAAAGAUGGAUA